AGUGAACGCUGGCGGUAGGCCUAACACAUGCAAGUCGAACGGCAGCACAGUAAGAGCUUGCUCUUACGGGUGGCGAGUGGCGGACGGGUGAGGAAUACAUCGGAAUCUACUUUUUCGGGGGGGAUAACGUAGGGAAACUUACGCUAAUACCGCAUACGACCUACGGGUGAAAGCAGGGGAUCUUCUGACCUUGCGCGAUUGAAUGAGCCGAUGUCGGAUUAGCUAGUUGGCGGGGUAAAGGCCCACCAAGGCGACGAUCCGUAGCUGGUCUGAGAGGAUGGUCAGCCACACUGGAAGUGAGACACGGUCCAGACUCCUGCGGGAGGACGCAGUGGGGAAUAUUGGACAAUGGGGGCGAGCCUGAUCCAGCCAUACCGCGUGGGUGAAGAAGGCGUUCGGGUUGUAAAGCCAUUUUGUUGGGAGAGAAAAGCAGCAGGUUAAUACCCCGCUGUUCUGACGGUACCGAAAGAAUAAGCACCGGCUAACUUCGUG
rnacentral:rRNA from 1 species